UCCUAUAGGCCCUUGCUUGGCGAAUUUUUAGGCCCUUGUUAUUGGCCUCGGUUUGAGUCGAGAAAAUGUCAGCCAUUGACUAGCGACGAGCUGCUCUUCCGAUAUUUCAAUAUUAUGCCUUUAUUCCGCAGUUGACAAGAUAUCCUGAACGAUAGGCCACCACUCGGCACUAACGACCGGUGGGAGGGGAGGAGGAUGCGACUGCCUUGUUAUUGGAGGAUGUUGACAACCAUCUGUGCCGCUGUCUUACCUCAGUCUAGCAUAGUCGUUUGACUUUGUCCCCAACGCUUGAGCCAUUGAUACUAUAGAGGCAACGAUUUGCCUCUCAACAAAUCGUCCAGUUUCCCCGUCCGACGCCAACGCUCAAGACCCGGUCCAUCUUCAACUUCGUCGAUUCCGUAUUGAAUGUUGCAAAUGAAUCCUAUUUGUAUCUGUACUGUAGGUUUUCCAAUCACGAAUAAACAAUUAUAAUCGAGUUUGAAGUUUCGAGGGGUAAUCACGAUAUGAAAACCCCCAUUUCCUGUAGUCUCGAAACUCUGUUUCAUGAAAAAGUUACGCAUCUAAGCCACUUUUCUGUAUAUCAUGAAAAAGUUACGCAUCUAAGCCACUUUUCUGUAUUUGAAUGAUCAACAUGAAUAAACUAAUUACUGAUCA